rnacentral:rRNA from 1 species
CGGUAAUUCCAGCUCCAAUAGCGUAUACUAAAGUUGUUGCAGUUAAAAAGCUCGUAGUUGGAUUUCUGUGCGGGCGGGGCACUCUUCCGGUUUAACCGGGUAUGGGUCUGCAACGCUCGCACAUCCUGCCACGACCCACGCUACCAUUAACUUGGUGGCGUUUGGCGACUGGCUCGUUUACUUUGAGAAAAAUAGAGUGUUCAAAGCAGGCAUCUAGCCUUGAAUAAUGUAGCAUGGAAUAAUGAUAAAGGACUUUGGUUCUAUUUUGUUGGUGUUCGGGACUGAAGUAAUGAUUGAUAGGGACAGUUGGGGGCGUCUGUAUUCUGAAGCGAGAGGUGAAAUUCUUAGACCUUCGGAAGACAAACAGCUGCGAAAGCGUUCGCCAAGGAUGUUCCCUUUGAUCAAGAACGAAAGUUGGGGGAUCGAAGACGAUCAGAUACCGUCGUAGUCUCAACUAUAAACUAUACCAGCUAGGGAUCGGCCAACGUUGAACCAAAAGACUUGGUCGGCACCUUAUGAGAAAUCAAAGCAUCUGGGUUCCGGGGGGAGUAUGGUCGCAAGGCUGAAACUUAAAGGAAUUGACGGAAGGGCACCACCAGGCGUGGAGCCUGUGGCUUAAUUUGACUCAACACGGGGAAACUUACCAGGUCCAGACAUGAGAAGGAUUGACAGAUUGACAGCUCUUUCUUGAUUUUAUGGGUGGUGGUGCAUGGCCGUUCUUAGUUGGUGGAGUGAUUUGUCUGGUUAAUUCCGUUAACGAACGAGACCCCAGCCUGCUAAAUAGCGCGCGUGGCCUCUGGCCGCGGCGAGCUUCUUAGAGGGACUAUGGCCAGCCAUAGGCCAGGGAAGUUUGGGGCAAUAACAGGUCUGUGAUGCCCUUAGAUGUUCUGGGCCGCACACGGGCUACACUGACGCGUGCAACGAGCAUAUCAGCUGGCCCGAAAGGGUGUGGGCUAAUCUUUUGAACUCGCGUCGUGCUAGGGAUCGACUAUUGCAAUUGUUAGUCGUGCAACGAGGAAUGCCUUGUAAACGCGAGUCAUCAACUCGCAUUGAAUACGUCCCUGCCCCUUGUACACACCGCCC